rfam:Myotis brandtii contig160001, whole genome shotgun sequence.
GAUGGUUCUCAGGUGACACACCCCAGAAUUGGGCUCCCUCCUCUCUGGUUCUGGGGUGCAUCACCCGAGAACUGCC